AUGGCGCCGAAAGCGAAGGAGGAAGCUCCUGCCCCUCCUAAAGCCGAAGCCAAAGGGAAGGCUUUAAAGGCCAAGAAGGCAGUGUUGAAAGGUGUCCACAGCCACAAAAAAAAGAAGAUCCGCACGUCACCCACCUUCCGGCGGCCCAAGACACUGCGACUCCAGAGGCAGCCCAAAUAUCCUCGGGAGAGCACCCCCAGGAGAAACAAGCUUGACCACUAUGCCAUCAUCAAGUUUCCGCUGACCACUGAGUCUGCCAUGAAGAAGAUAGAAGACAACAACACACUUGUGUUCACUGUGGAUGUUAAAGCCAACAAGCACCAGAUUAAACAGGCUGUGAAGAAGCUCUAUGACAUUGAUGUGACCAAGGUCAACACCCUGACUCGGCCUCAUGGAGAGAAAAAGGCAUAUGUUCGACUGGCUCCUGAUUACGACGCUUUGGAUGUUGCCAACAAAAUUGGGAUCAUCUAAACUGAGUCCAGCUGCCUAAUUCUAAAUAUAUAUAUAUAUCUUUUCAACAUAAAAAAAAAAAAAAUCCCUC